rnacentral:lncRNA from 1 species
AUACAGCGUGAGCGCGCAUUUUCUAAUGGCUGCUGAUCACUAUUGCAGAAAGAUCAAAGCAAGGCCAACCAGGAUGAGAUGAAAAUGUGUAUCAAGAGUUCAACCAGAUAGUGUGGAAGAAUCUUAAGCAAGAAUUAUAUUGGUCUCUUGAUCAUCACUGCCCACAGCUGAUUCAGAUCUUCAGGUCAAAGAGAGGAUUCACUGGACAGAUUUUUAUCUUCUACAAAAUAUCAAGGCGUCUGACCUCACUGACAUGCCAUGUGUUGCCAUUUGAGUGCUUCCAGUAGUUGUUGGUGAUGACCCAACAGUUCUUCAAAGCAUGUUUUGCUUCAGAUGAUGGAGACUCAAAUCAACAUGUGCCCGUUGGAAUUCUUAACCAAGAAAAUUAAGAUGUGGCUCUGCAACCCCUGUCCUUCCACCUCCACCCAUUCUCUGGGAAUCAUCUUGGAGGGAAAUGUUGUAAUGGACAAUAUAGACAAUAUACCCCAGGCCAAGUGUCUUUUUGGAUCAACCUAUGCACUGCACCUAGGCUACACAAAAUGCAUGGACAAUACCCUUCUUUUUAUUCAACAAGUUUGGGUAAGAAGAUGCUGAAGGGUAACAUUCUGGCUGUUAAAAAUCAACUUGUCAUGUAAACUGGUACAGAAAAGGCAUGUUCCUUCAGGCUUGCUGUCCUAACUGUGAGAUAAAAAAAAUUAAAACUAUGCUUUAGUGUUUGGCAAGUGUAAAUAUUCCAUAAUGUUAAAAUGUAAUAACAUCCUGUGGUUGUUUAUUUUUUAGAUAUGUUUGUAAAAAUGUAUUUAAAAAUUUUAAACAAGUGUUUUAAUAAGAUUUAUAACAAUAAAUAUUGACUAAUUGUUAUACAAGGCAUUUUCUAGUUUUGUCACUUGUUUCGGAGUGAUAUUUCUAAAUGAUUUUAAAUAAACUGUAA